CCCUUAGAUGUCCGGGGCCGCUCGCGCGCUACACUGAAGGAAUCAGCGUGGCUUUCUCCCUGACCCGAAAGGGUUGGGAAACCCGUUGAAUCUCCUUCGUGAUAGGGAUUGGGGCUUGAAAUUGUUCCCCAUGAACGAGGAAUUCCCAGUAAGCGCGAGUCAUAAGCUCGCGUUGAUUACGUCCCUGCCCUUUGUACACACCGCCCGUCGCUACUACCGAUUGAACGGUUUAGUGAGGGCCUCGGAUUGGUCUCGGCCCGCUCUUUACCGGGCGGCGCCGUUGGUCGAGAAGACGCUCGAACUUGAUCGUUUAGAGGAAGUAAAAGUCGUAACA
rnacentral:rRNA from 1 species